rnacentral:rRNA from 1 species
CGUGCUUACGAUACGGGCAAACUAGAGGUAUGCAGGGGAGAACGGAAUUCCUGGUGUAGCGGUGGAAUGCGCAGAUAUCAGGAGGAACACCGGUGGCGAAGGCGGUUCUCUGGGCAUUAACUGACGCUGAGGAGCGAAAGCAUGGGGAGCGAACAGGAUUAGAUACCCUUGUAGUCCAUGCCGUAAACGUUGUGCGCUAGGUGUGGGGACCCUUCCACGGUCUCCGUGCCGAAGCUAACGCAUUAAGCGCCCCGCCUGGGGAGUACGGCCGCAAGGCUAAAACUCAAAGGAAUUGACGGGGGCCCGCACAAGCGGCGGAAGCAUGCUGAUUAAUUCGAUGCAACGCGAAAAACCUUACCUGGGUUUGACAUAUGCCGGAAAUCUCGUAGAGAUACGGCCCCCCUUGUGGUCGGUAUACAGGUGGGUGCAUGGCUGUCUUCAGCUCGUGUCGUGAGAUAUUGGGUUAAGUCCCGCGACGAGCGCAACCCUCGUCCUAUGUUGCCAGCACGUUAUGGUGGGGACUCAUAGGAGACUGCCGGGGUCAACUCGGAGGAAGGUGGGGAUGACGUCAAGUUUUCAUGCCCCUUAUGUC